rnacentral:rRNA from 1 species
CACGUAGGGGGCGAGCGUUGUCCGGAUUUAUUGGGCGUAAAGAGCGUGUAGGCGGCCUGGAAGGUCAGCUGUGAAAACUCGAGGCUCAACCUCGAGACGUCGGUUGAAACCACUUGGCUAGAGUCCGGAAGAGGAGUGUGGAAUUCCCGGUGUAGCGGUGAAAUGCGCAGAUAUCGGGAAGAACACCCGUGGCGAAGGCGGCACUCUGGGACGGUACUGACGCUGAGACGCGAAAGCGUGGGGAGCGAACAGG